GCCCAAAGAUAGAAAUGAUAUUGUCAUCACUCUAAGAGAGGACAUAUCGCACCAAAUAGUUUUUAAGCUAAUAUGAUUAGUAGUUUAUCAAACAGAGAAGUGCCAGAUGUCAAGAUGAUUCUGUGGACUGCAUUUUGGCUGCUAUAUUACAAGAUCUUUUUACUUCGUUGAUCACUAUUUGAUUAAGUAGAAAAAGAACCUUCCAACUGUUAAUUUUUGGCACUUCUAUCUGACUAAACCUAAAAGACUUUCUUACUCUUAUUCUCAUUUGAAAUGUUUUCAUUUUCUUUCCUUUUUAGUUUCUUCACCAAAUUAGAUAUAUCUGAAAAUAGGUAAAAAGGAAACAGUAAUACUCUCUCUUUGUCGGCACGAAUAGUCAGCUUCACGAUGGAAACAAGGUAAACUUCGUAAUAGAAAAAUUAGGUGAAAGAGUGAAGACAAUCGACAUUUUUUUCCUUUUUUGAUAAGGUAAAGUUUUAUUGAUAAAAGUACCAAGAUGGUACAGAAAAUUACAUAACAGGACCAGACAACAUCUACACAAACCUCCAAUUACAUCUUCCCUAGCCAAUCCAAAAAUUCCAUAUACUGAUUCAUGUUUUCUAAUAGACACCUCUUACACCAAAAAAAACGUUAUGCAGACGAGUUUUUGAUUCUAGAAAUCUGAUUUUUUUUUUUCUUCAAAACAAACAUAGUUCCUCUCACUCCAGAUGGUCCAAAAUUGCAUAAUGGAUAGUUCUCCAAUCUGCCUCAUUUCCUUUCUUAUCUUCUGUACUUGCCAGCUAGCCAAUAGAUUUCUAAUGCUUGAAGGCAUAACCCAAGUAACUCCACAAAGGUUCAAGAAUAGCUCCCAGCAUUGCUUUGCAAUUUUACAAUGAAUAAACAGAUGGUUGACUGAUUCCAAACCUUCUUCACACAGAUAGCACCUAUUGCUUAAAUUGAAACCUCUUUUCUGCAAAUUGUCUUAGUUAAGCAGGCCUCUCUGAUAACUAACCACCCAAAGCAGGCUACUUUAACAUGUGCCUUUGUACUCCAUAACAUUUUCCAUGGCCAAUUAGAUACGUAAUGGUCUGCUUGUUUCUGGAGAAGUUUAUAGCCACUAUUGACAAUACUUCAUAUUUGCGCUUGUUGUCCGAACCAUGGUGUCCUUAUUUUCCUCUAUCACAACUGUGUCCAUUAAUUGAAAAAAUUGACAAACUUCUUCCAUCUCCCCAUCAUUAAAAUCUCUUCUAGAAUCAGCCAUUGGAAGAAUAAUACACAGCCACACUUCCUUCUUUAGUGAGGGAGUAGUUGUAUAAGGACGCAAAUCUGUCUUUCAAGCUCACAUCCCCCACCCACACUUCAGACCAGAAUCUGAUUUUUGCCCCAUUCCCCAACUUCAAUUUAGUAUGUUGCUGAAAUUCAUUCCACAGUUUACUUAUGCUGCUCCGGAGGAAAUAAUGACAACUGGAGGGCUCCAUACUUCCUUCUUCUCAUACUUGGUAUUUAUAAGAUUCUUCCAGAUGCUCUCUUUUCCAUCAUUAUUUCUCCAUAACCAUUUACUCCCCCGUUUCAAGCUCACAUCCCCCACCCACACUUCAGACCAGAAUCUGAUUUUUGCCCCAUUCCCCAACUUCAAUUUAGUAUGUUGCUGAAAUUCAUUCCACAGUUUACUUAUGCUGCUCCGGAGGAAAUAAUGACAACUGGAGGGCUCCAUACUUCCAUCUUCUCAUACUUGGCAUUUAUAAGAUUCUUCCAGAUGCUCUCUUUUCCAUUAUUAUUUCUCCAUAACCAUUUACUCCCCCCGUUUCAAAAAAAUUAUUUUAGUUUGACUUGGCACAAACUUUAAUAAAGAAGGGAAGACUUUUGAAAUAUGUGGUCUUAAAUAAGCCACAGCAUUUGUGCGGUUGUAAAACUUUUAAAACUUGUGGUCUUAAACCUGGCAUAGUAUUUGUGUGGCUAUUAAUGCUUCCUAUUAAGGAAAUAUUGAAAGGUGCCAAUCUUUUUGAAACAGGCUAAUAAGAAAAUAGUGCCAAUCUUUUUGGAACAAUGGGAGUAUAGACAAAGCUUUUAUUAUGGAAUCUCAAGUUUCUAACUCCCAGUCCACCUCCUUUCUUAACGGUCAUCACCUUUUGCCAUUUGACCAGAUGUAACUUCCUUUUUUUCUGCAUACCUUCCCAAAUAAAAUUGCUUCUCAUAGUAUUCACUUUCUUCUCCACAUUCACAGGUAUCUGACAUAAAGACAUCAAAUAAGUUGGAAUCCCAUCCAAUACACUACUAACCAAGGUAGACAUCAAAUAAGUUGGAAUCCCAUCCAAUACACUACUAACCAAGGUGAGUCUGCCUCCAAGGAAUAAGUAUUGCUUUUUCCAUGGAGUCAAUUUUUUGCAACAUCUAUCAACUACUCCACGGCCAGAUCCUCAGUUCAUUUUUCCCAGCACCCAAUGGAAGCCCUAAAUAAGUUGUUGGUAACUGCUCCACUUCACAGCCCAUUAACUCUGCAAGAUCAUCUAUACAAUGUUCUGCAUUAAUGCUAAACAUACUACUCUUUGCCAAAUUCACCUUUAAACCUGUUACUGCUUCAAAGACUAGUAGGACCCCUCUGAGAUAAGAGACUUGUUCUUCCUUAGCUUUACAAAUCAGUAAGGUAUCACCUGCAUAUAAAAUAUGUGAGAUGACACAACUUGCCUCACCCCUUCUUUCAAUAUUCAAGCAUUUAAUCUACCCCAAUUGUUCAACUUUCUUUAAGCAUCUUACUGAAAAUCUCCAUAACCAGAACAAAUAAGUAUGGGGACAAAGGGUCCCUCCGCCUUAGCCCUCUAGAAGAAUUGAAGAAACCUUGAGGGCUUCCAUUAAUAAGUACUGAAAAUAUUACGGUAGAGAUGCAAUAUUCAACACAUUUUAAUCAUUUCUCAUCAAAAUUCAUCUGCCUCAUGAUAUUCAAUAGACAUGCCCAAUUAAUAUGAUCAUAUGUCUUUUCUAGGUCUAAUUUACAGAGAACUCCUUGCUUUUUAUUUCUGAUCAAAUGCUUCACACUCAUUGGCAACCAUAGAAGCAUCAACUAUUUGUCUCCCAUUUAUAAAAGCAUUCUAAUUGUCACAGAUCAAAUUUUUUAUCACCACCUUGAUCCUUUCUGCCAGCAAUUUAGCAAUAAUCCUUUGGCCUUUUGUCUUUUAUGUCCACAUCAUCUUCCUUUUUUGGUAUUAAGGCAAUAAAUGUAGCAUUAAAGCUCUUAGUGAAAUUACAUUCUUGAGAAAAAAAUUAUAUUGUUCCAUACAUCAUUUUUUACUGUAGUCCAACAUUUCUGAAAGGAAUGGGAUCAAAACCAUCUGGACCUGGAGCUUUGUCUCCCUUAAAAUAAGCCGUUCCCACUUCUUCCAUUGUAAGAGGUUUUUGUACCCAGUCUUUCUCCUCCUUUGUCAGCUUGCUUAGAUCGCCUCCUAACCAUUUUUGCCUUCAUGCUUCAGGUUCUCUAAACAAAAACUUUUCUAAAAUCCCAAAAUAUGUUCCUUUAAUCUUUAUAAAUUUAUCAUCUUCAGUCAUUCUAUAACAAUCUUGUCAAUGCAGUUGUAUCUUUUACGCGCAUUUGUAACUGGAAUUUCUAUCUCCAUGCUCAAUUCAUAAACAUCUGGACUUUUGUCUCCAAGAUAUUUAAUCUGCUUUGGUAGUAUUUUCUGGCUCACUUAGGAUAACACACCUUUCAGCCUCAACUUGAUCAAAACUUUGAGUCAAAAUUGCUCUUUGAUCCAAGACUUCUAUUUUCUUUUCUGUCGGAUUGCCAAAGGCCUCGCUAUUCCACUUUUUCAAGUCUUCUUUCAACAAUUUCAGCUUUUUAGCCAGGACUUCAUCAGCCCUGCCAAGUACAUUGUAUGAGUUCCACCAAUUAUCAACUAAAUCACUGAAAUCUUUAUGUUCAAUCCACAUGUCCUCGAAUUUAAAAUAAUCCUUUCCCUGAAUUUAAAAUAAUCCUUUCCCUUACUCCGAUCCCCACAUUUUAGCAAAAUGGGACAAUGGUCUGAAGUAACCCUGGGCAAACUCUUUGUUUUAAGAUUUUAAAUUGCUCAUCCCAGCUUUCAGUAAACAGGAACCUGUCUAUUAUAUAGGCACAUGUACUAUUCCCCCCUCCCCAGACCAAGUGUAUAAGCCACCAUGAGGUUGGGGAUACAAUAAAGAUAAAUCAUCAAUGAAUCUGAAAAAUUCCCUCACAGCUCGAGUAUUUCUUGCAUUCUCUUUCUUUUCUGCUUCAAAACUGACCACAUUAAAAUCUCCACCAAUAAAUCAUGGAUGUGAAAUCAAGCCACAGAUUGUAGCCAUAUCUUUCCACAAACUCCUCCUUAUCUUCCGAUCACAAGGUGCAUAUACCCCUAUGAAUGUGCCUUGAAAGCCAGUAUUUUCCUCUUCCAUAAACGUAGUAACAGAAUGUUGUCCCACAUAUUUCUCCUUGCAUUUCCAUUUCCUUUUGUCCAAUACACGACAAUUCCCCCACUAUUUCCUUGAGCCUCCAAUUCAACCCACUCACUCCACCUAGACCACCCAACUUGUUUAAUAUCUUCCUGAGUUAGACCACUUAUCUUUGCUUCAUAAAGACAAACAAUGUCAACAUUCCAAUUCCUUAAAAGCAAAUCUACCAAGCUUCUUUUCUUUUUAUCAUUCAUGCCCCUAACAUUCCCACAUAUAAUUGUUAACUUCAUUAAGAAACAACCAAAGCCCUCCUACCCUUGCCUCUACCAACAUUUUCCGCACCUGAACUAGAUUUUCCUUCUUUUUUUCUCUCAUAUUUUUUGCCAGGAGAAAUAUGCGUUAGGGUGCAAAGAAUGGGAGAAAAAUAUAACAUGCGUUAGGGUGCAAAGAAUGGGAGCAAAAGAUAAUCAAAACAUUAGACGAACCAAAUGAAGAAAAGAGUUUGAUGUGGCAAACUGUAGAUUUUGAAAAGAAGAAAAAGCUUCUUGUAUUUUUGUGUAUCUCUUACAUCCCUAAGCAAAUGUAUUUAUACACUACGUCCAAUCAGCAUCUGAGUACCCAAGAAUCUGCUCAUGGCCUCGAUCCUCAAAUAAUAACCCUUUGCCUGGAGCUGACUUUACAUACUGAAGAAUGCGGACGAUUGCAUCCCAAUGACUAUCACAUGGAGAAUCCAUAAACUGAUUUACAACACUCACAGGAAAGGAAAUGUCAAAAGAAAACUGUAACUUGAUGAAACGGGCGGAGGAACACUGUCAGAAAAGAAAUCUGAAUUGAGAGACAUUAUAGGAUUGAAGUGAGUUCUAGCAAAUUAUCACCAAAAUAACAGAAUGAAUUAAUUGUAACUUACUGAAAUGGGCGAAGGAACAAUGUAGCUGCAAGAAAAAUCGGUGUGGUCGCCGGAAAAAACUCAAAGUGAUCGGAAUAAAACGAAAAUAGUAUGGGUGGGGUCGGAAUUAGCAGAUGAAGCAAUUGUUCCGAAGGAACUUUUACAAAAAAUGGCCGGAAGGAGUCGUACACACCGGCGCGUGAACUCACGCGCUCGCCAGAACCCUAGCUUAUGUCAGUGCGUGAGGGCACGUGAGACUGCUGCCGGAGAUGUUGAUUGGGGUUUAGUCGCCGGAUGAUGACGGAUCUUGUGGUAGUGUUGAAUUUUGCACAACACUGACGGAGAGAGAGUUGACGCAAGACAGCCGGGAAAAGUUGCCGGAAAAUCAAGGCACAGUGACUUUUUGUUGUAUUCUUGUUCCCGGAUGUGUCUCACCACCACUGCUCUGAUACAUGUAAGAAAUAAUACACAAGAAAAUAAUUCUUUUGAUAUAUUAACAAUGAUACAAUGACCCCUAUA